GUGUUAAGCCUGUGCUGACACAAUAAAUAUCACAUUGUCUUUAGUCUCUUGAUAAAGGUUGUGCAUGUGAAGCAGAAGAGGAUAAUGAGGUUCAUAUCUAUCUUGAUCAUUUUGAUUGUGUUAUGUCUUUUGGCUGUACAGGCAAGAUACUAUAAGAAAUGCAAAUCAAGUUCAGAGUGCUAUUUCAACGAAUGUUGCUCACGAGGACGCUGCAAACCAAUGAUUUCACCCGGAUACCGUUGUAACGUGUAUCGUAUGCUUCUCAGUCAACAGUGUCCUUGUACUCGAGGAUUUACCUGCACUGCAAAGUCACGUGUAAAUAAACGACUUAGAUGGACUUGCCAGUCAAUAAUGUGGAGACACGAUCCGAACGAAGAAGAGCUUCAUGAAUGGUUUGAGAUGUUUUAUUAACAAUGUCUCUAAUUUUGGAAAGACAUCCUCUAUAAUUACUAUAUGCCUUUCAUUUAAUUGUUUUAGCAAAUUAUUUGUUAUACACUUUGUUACAUGUAAGAAUCUGAUCGGGAAUAGUUAUACAUAACUAUUUCUUGGACAAAAACAUUAAUAAUCAGUAAAUUUUUUUGUGAAUAUUACGAAAUACAAUUGUUUUUUUCAGGAUUAUGCACCACAAAAUCAGUCGAAAUCAUCAACAUUUCCAUUUAUUUUUAAUUUAUUAUUUUUAAUAUUAAAAGUGCAACAAAAUGAAAA